CCUACGGGUGGCAGCAGUGGGGAAUAUUGGACAAUGGGGGCAACCCUGAUCCAGCCAUGCCGCGUGUGUGAAGAAGGCCCUCGGGUUGUAAAGCACUUUCAGUGAGGAAGAACGCCUGGUGGUUAAUACCCAUCAGGAAAGACAUCACUCACAGAAGAAGCACCGGCUAACUCCGUGCCAGCAGCCGCGGUAAUACGGAGGGUGCGAGCGUUAAUCGGAAUUACUGGGCGUAAAGCGCGCGUAGGUGGCUUGAUAAGCCGGUUGUGAAAGCCCCGGGCUCAACCUGGGAACGGCAUCCGGAACUGUCAAGCUAGAGUGCAGGAGAGGAAGGUAGAAUUCCCGGUGUAGCGGUGAAAUGCGUAGAGAUCGGGAGGAAUACCAGUGGCGAAGGUGGCCUUCUGGACUGACACUGACACUGAGGUGCGAAAGCGUGGGUAGCAAACAGGAUUAGAUACCCUGGUAGUC
rnacentral:rRNA from 1 species